rnacentral:rRNA from 1 species
GACGAACGCUGGCGGCGUGCUUAACACAUGCAAGUCGAACGGUAAGGCCCUUCGGGGUACACGAGUGGCGAACGGGUGAGUAACACGUGGGUGAUCUGCCCUGCACUUCGGGAUAAGCCUGGGAAACUGGGUCUAAUACCGGAUAGGACCACUGCCUGCAUGGGUGGUGGUGGAAAGCUUUUGCGGUUGGGGAUGGGCCCGCGGCCUAUCAGCUUGUUGGUGGGGUGAUGGCCUACCAAGGCGACGACGGGUAGCCGGCCUGAGAGGGUGACCGGCCACACUGGGACUGAGAUACGGCCCAGACUCCUACGGAAGGCAGCAGUGGGGAAUAUUGCACAAUGGGCGCAAGCCUGAUGCAGCGACGCCGCGUGAGGGAUGACGGCCUUCGGGUUGUAAACCUCUUUCAGCACCGACGAAGCGCAAGUGACGGUAGGUGCAGAAGAAGGACCGGCCAACUACGUGCCAGCAGCCGCAGUAA